UACGGAGGGUGCAAGCGUUGUCCGGAUUUAUUGGGUUUAAAGGGUGCGCAGGUGGUUUAUUAAGUCAGUGGUGAAAGACGGUCGCUCAACGAUUGCAGUGCCAUUGAAACUAGUAGACUUGAGUAAAGUAGAGGUGGGCGGAAUUGAUAGUGUAGCGGUGAAAUGCAUAGAUAUUAUCAAGAACUCCAAUUGCGUAGGCAGCUCACUUGGCUUUUACUGACACUCAUGCACGAAAGUGUGGGUAUCAAACAGGAUUAGAUACCCUGGUAGUCCACACUGUAAACGAUGAUAACUAGGUGUCGGCCGAAUCUGGUCGGUGCCACAGCGAAAGCGUUAAGUUAUCCACCUGGGGAGUACGCCGGCAACGGUG
rnacentral:rRNA from 1 species